rnacentral:rRNA from 1 species
GGGGGGGGGGGGGGGGGGGGCGGGGGGGGGGGGGGGGGGGGGGGGGGGGUGGGGCGGGGGGCAGUUGGGAGAGCGGCGAACGGGGGGGGAGCGCGGGGGGAGUCUGGCGUGGAGCGGGGGACAGCAUUUGGAAACGGAGGCUAGUACCGCAUAACAACUUAAAACAUGAGUUUUAAGUUUUAAAGAUGCAAUCGCAUCACUCACAGAUGAUCCCCCGUUGUAUUAGCUAGUUGGAGAGGUCAACGCUCACACAGGCGAUGAUACAUAGCCGACCUGCGAGGGUGAUCUGCCACAUUGGGACUGAGACACGGCCCAAACUGCUACGGGAGGCAGCAGUAGGGAAUCUUCGGCAAUGGACGAAAGUCUGACCGAGCAACGCCGCGUGAGUGAAGAAGGUUGUCGGAUCGUAAAACUCUGUUGGUAGAGAAGAACGUUGGUGAGAGUGGAAAGCUCAUCAAGUGACGGUAACUACCCAGAAAGGGACGGCUAACUACGUG